GAUGAACGCUGACAGAAUGCUUAACACAUGCAAGUCGAUGGGGAAGUGGUGCUUGCACCAUGGUAACCAUGGCGGACGGGUGAGUAACGCGUAAGGAACUUGCCUGCGGGACUGGGAUAACAGCAGGAAACUGCUGAUAAUACCGGAUAAGGUCAUUAAGCUGCAUAGCUUAGUGAUGAAAGGAGACGCCUGCGGAGAGCCUUGCGUCCUAUUAGCUAGUUGGAGGGGUAACGGCCCACCAAGGCGAAGAUAGGUAGCCGGCCUGAGAGGGUGGACGGCCACAAGGGGACUGAGAUACGGCCCUUACUCCUACGGGAGGCAGCAGUGGGGAAUAUUGGACAAGGGGGGCAACCCUGAUCCAGCAAUUCUGUGUGCACGAAGACGGUUUUCGGAUUGUAAAGUGCUUUCAGCAGGGAAGAAGGAAGUGACGGUACCUGCAGAAGAAGCGACGGCUAAAUACGUG
rnacentral:rRNA from 1 species